rnacentral:misc_RNA from 1 species
CAACCCUCAAGCCUGGCUUGGUGUUGGGGUACUACCCGUCAAACGGUAGGCCCUGAAAUUUAGUGGCGGGCUCGCUAAGACUCUGAGCGUAGUAGUUUUUUCAACCUCGCUUUGGAAGGAUUAGCGGUUGCUCUUGCCGUAAAACCCCCCAAAUAAUCUGAAA